rnacentral:rRNA from 1 species
GAUGAACGCUGGCGGCGUGCCUAAUACAUGCAAGUCGAGCGAACAGACGAGGAGCUUGCUCCUCUGACGUUAGCGGCGGACGGGUGAGUAACACGUGGAUAACCUACCCAUAAGACUGGGAUAACUUCGGGAAACCGGAGCUAAUACCGGAUAAUAUAUUGAACCGCAUGGUUCAAUAGUGAAAGACGGUUUUGCUGUCACUUAUAGAUGGAUCCGCGCCGCAUUAGCUAGUUGGUAAGGUAACGGCUUACCAAGGCAACGAUGCGUAGCCGACCUGAGAGGGUGAUCGGCCACACUGGAACUGAGACACGGUCCAGACUCCUACGGGAGGCAGCAGUAGGGAAUCUUCCGCAAUGGGCGAAAGCUUGACGGAGCAACGCCGCGUGAGUGAUGAAGGUCUUCGGAUCGUAAAACUCUGUUAUUAGGGAAGAACAAAUGUGUAAGUAACUAUGCACGUCUUGACGGUACCUAAUCAGAAAGCCACGGCUAACUACGUG